UAAAAGACUCUCAGUCUCUUAACAUCAUCCAGCAAUGAUGAGGAGACACUGAAUAUAAUCAUUAAUGAGAGAGAAGGACAAAUUAAGAUUAAAGGAUUCUCUGAGUUGUAUCGGUUUGCUAAGAGACUCCACACGUCAUCAAGAGGACAGGGAAAGAGCUUAAUGUCACAUUCAAAAAAAAUUAGAUGAAGAUGUUGCUCACUGCAAGGAUCAGUUACAAGAACUUAAAGCUCGCACCGGACUACUUAAUAAAUACAUUUAAAAACAAUCAGACGUCAAAGUUCAGUGCAGUCAGAGACAGCAACAGAAUAAAGAGUCUGACCUUUAUAACGAGAGGGAGAGACUGAAACAAGAACUAGCAGAAGAGAAGAGAGCACAUGCUGAGAUUGAAAACUACCUCAAGAAACACAUUGAAGGUCUUGAUGGUAAAGUGGAGUACUGGAUGUCAUAAUAUGAAGAACAUUUGGAAAUGAAAACAAUUAAAGUACAAGAGACUAAAUCAGCUAAAGCAGGAGGACUACAGAAACUGGACGAACUAUCACAAACUUAUAAGAGGUUGUGAUUGAGCACAGAGCAAUGAAGGAGACAAAGAAUCAAAGAACAAGAGAAGAAAGAAAAUACGACAG